UAUCAUUUCCGAUCCAGAACCAAUGAAUAUCCAAGCUAGUAUGGGAAAUGACGAUGAUGCUAUUGCAACACCGAUCCAGUCUGCCAGGGACUGGUUUGAAGUCUAGCUAAGGGUCAAAUAUCUCGGGAGAUUGAAACUCAACCUGUUCAAAAUCUCUAUGCUAUUCAUGUCCUUAAUGGCUUGAUUUAGUGCAAUUUCAGAGUACCCGAAAGCUUAUCUGAUAGAGAUGGGAGGUGUGGCGUGUAGGAGCCAUUGCAACUCUGAUUGACACUGUUGGUGCUUGUGCUGCACAUAUUACACACACGGAAAUAUCAAUGUUUCUGUUAAUUUCAACAUUUCUUACUUCUCCACUGCAAAAGUUCAGGAUGAAGUAGAGAUUUGAGGCUAAAGUGAUGGGGAAUAAGGGAAAUCUUUCUUCAGUGAUGGUGCGGAACUGCGGAUUUAAAAGAAACAAAAUGUUGAUUUGGUUGCUAUAGCAGUGGAGCUCACUAGCAGAAGUUGCAGACAUGGGUGAUGCAGAUGCACAGUAUGAGUUGGGUUGCGGUUUGAGAAUUGAGGUACUGGGGACUGUGUGAAGCGAGAUAUGGAAUCAACCUUGUGGUGUCUCCAUCAAGCUUUUCAGAGAAGGGGCAAGCUGGUGCACCCAUAGCAUAUGGAUCACUUAUGUUAAAAUGGGGCUUCUGGAGGAGGAUUCACUAUGAAAGAGGUCUAUCGCAAAUACUACCUUCCACAAGUAAUUGCUAAAGGGAAGGAUGUGAAAUUUUGGAAAGACAAAUGGAGGGGGGCUGUUCCUUUCUGUUUGACCUAGAAGAAGACCUUUUAAGCAGCUAUUUAAAAGGAUGGAAAAAAUGGCUGAUCUUAUUUAUCAGGGGAAGUGGAAUAUUCAGUUCAAGAGACAGCCAUCUGAUGAGGUAAUUGGUGAGUUCUCAAAUCUCUCAACUCUUCUGGAAUCUGGGUGAUGCUUCACUUUGCGCAAUGAAGCAGACUCCAUUUCCUGUAGCUCGAACUCAGAUUAUACAGUUGAAGAUGAAUACUCUUGGCUCUUGAAUCAGAAUGAGGGUGUCUCUCAACCUUUCAAGUAUUGAAGUAUAUGUGGAAGACGCAUAUUCCCAACAAGGUUCAAUUAUAUGUCUGAUAAGUGAUUCAAAAACCUUUCAAGUUUUUGCAACAAUAUGGAGGAUAAUUGGGAUCAUAUUUUACUCCGCCGCACAUUCUCAAGGCAGAUUUGGGAUUAAUUUAGUCCAGCAAUGCAACAUUCUUGGUCUCAGAAGACUUCGGUAAAGGAGCAAUUUGAGUUUUGGUCUGACCUUAAUGGGAAAAAGCUAGCUAGAAAGGUGUUGAAGUUGCUUCCCUUUGCAACUGUGUGGCCUCUGUGGUCUGAAAGGAACAAGAUAGUGAGGGCCAACAAGAGAAGUAGAGAGGCCAAAACAAUCAUCAGUGAAGUGAAGUGAAGAGAUUGAUUUUUCAGUGGGGAUCAAUUUAUGCCUGGUUUCACUUCUUGUCCUUUAGAGACUUCUUAAUAAAUUGGGAGGCUGUAAUGGUUACGGGCACCGUAUAGAGUUGGUGAAAGAACAACUUGAAAUUGCAUCUAAAGCAGGAACCGAUCUUGGGCUUAAAUGUUUGAAAAUACUUGAAGAUGCAUCUGAAUAACAAUGUACAUUAAAACACAGUAUAGACUGAUUCACUUGGAUUUCUAGAUGGCAUCAUAAUUUGGAAAAGCUGAGAUGGA